rnacentral:rRNA from 1 species
GAUGAACGCUGGCGGCGUGCCUAAUACAUGCAAGUCGAGCGAACAGAUAAGGAGCUUGCUCCUUUGACGUUAGCGGCGGACGGGUGAGUAACACGUGGGUAACCUACCUAUAAGACUGGAAUAACUCCGGGAAACCGGGGCUAAUGCCGGAUAACAUUUAGAAUCGCAUGGUUCUAAAGUGAAAGAUGGUUUUGCUAUCACUUAUAGAUGGACCCGCGCCGUAUUAGCUAGUUGGUAAGGUAACGGCUUACCAAGGCAACGAUACGUAGCCGACCUGAGAGGGUGAUCGGCCACACUGGAACUGAGACACGGUCCAGACUCCUACGGGAGGCAGCAGUAGGGAAUCUUCCGCAAUGGGCGAAAGCCUGACGGAGCAACGCCGCGUGAGUGAUGAAGGUCUUCGGAUCGUAAAACUCUGUUAUUAGGGAAGAACAAAUGUGUAAGUAACUGUGCACGUCUUGACGGUACCUAAUCAGAAAGCCACGGCUAACUACGUG